CCCAUUCCUUUAGUUAGGUUAGGUUUUACCCUAACUAGCCAAACUUGAUAUAGGCCUAGGCCUAAGUUUAUCAAAUGAAAUAAUCAAUAUGACUGGGACGGGUGGCGUUGUCCUGUAAUCCAGCUACUAGGAGGUCACGAAUUGUGGAUAUUUAGGCAUGCACUGUGGAUUCGACAGUCCCUGGUGUGGAUUAACGUCCGCACGGUGAGUACUUACUAUGACUCUCCCCAGUACUAUCCUGGUAUUUAGACCAAUUCGUAUAGGCCUAUACCUACCAAGGCAAUAAUGUGGUUCGGAUUCCACUAUAAACUGUAUGUCCCUUAGUUGCCAUUAGCUGUUUGGGCUAUUAACAGCUAUGUCUAAGGAAUGUCGGUCUUAGUCACUAACAAGACUACAAGAUGGCUCCACUCAUCCUACACUCAUCUCCAUUCAUACUAGUGGUUGGAAUCACCGAAUGAAAAUAACCGAAUCAAUCGGUUAUUGAUGCUGAAUAGACUAAUUCGGUUAUUUUAUCCUGGUUCGGUUAAAUUAGUCUUACUGUGCGAUUCGGUGAUUUAGUUGAUUUAGUUUGUCACAUCAUCAGGUAAUGUAACUAAAAUUUAUUCGGCGAUUCGUCCGACUAAAAAUCAACGAUUGACGCUGAAAGACUAAAUGCCAUUCAGUUUCCCAUAGGAUAAAAAUUAUUUGUGGUUUGUGAUAGUGAAUACUUAAUGACUAAAAUUGAUUCGGUGAUUCAUUCAACUAAAAAUAACCGAUUGACGCAAAAAAUAACUGAUUGAUUAUUCGGUCAUAGAAACCAUUCGGUUAUCCCAUAACUAAUUCAUACUUGGCUUAAAAUACCUAGACCUACUUUGUAUGGUUGCCAAGUAAUAAGAAAGAAAGUAGGCCUAUUAAAGAAAUAGAAAUGGAAUGAGUGUAGGACGUAAACUUAAGUGCUGUCAAAUAUUCUAGAGCUGUUUGUAUUUGGUGUAAGACUAGACUUGGAUUAUAUCAUUCAUUGCUGAUGACUUCAAUGUUAGUUUUAUAGAUGAUCCUGGAGCAAAGGCUGUAAUUUAACCUGAACCCAAAUUGGUCUCUUUUUUAAAUAUUGUCUUGAACCAAUAAGUUAAGAGGACUAACUUUUCUGGACGACAUUGCCAUCGACAUCACUGCAGAUGGGAGAGAAAGAGAGACCAGAGUUGUGUACCCUGGAGGCAAUUACCAUACUGCUGUGAUAAUGUUCCUUGGUCUAACCAUAACUUAAGUGAGAGCUGAAGCCUACCAGUAAAAUGGGGGUGUUGUAAUUAAUAUCCUCCAACACUGGAGGAUACAGGGGAGAGGUGUCAGAGGAAGAGGAGAUGGAGGAUGGGGCGAGUUUAAGACUAAGAUUGAAGAAAACUAACUUAUGGCCUGAUGACAGGGUGGAUGGCGAUGGAGGCAUGGAGGUUGGGGGAGAGAAGGCUGAAGAAGUGGAGACAAAUCAGUUUAGAUUCAUUAUAAUGAUUAGUUUAAUAUUUAUUUUGAAUACCAGUAUACUUUUAUUUACAUUUUGUUUCUCAUUUAGAUGAUUUAAUUAAGAAAAUUUUAUUAUUUUUAUAAAGAUGUUUUCUUAAAUUUUUAAUAUUUGUUUGUACUUCUGCCUGGUAAAAAACAAAACUGUUUAUUAUGUUUGUUAAAAUGAUUACUUCCACUAAUGGACCUUGUCUUGGGUGAAAAGAGAUAUCUUGAUAUUUAACUAGCAGGGUGCCUGUUCUAUCUAUGGGCGGGGAUCGUAUAAGUCAGUUGAAACCUUCUUAUAUUUCGAUAUUUGGUAAAUUAAUCAUUUCCAAC